rnacentral:misc_RNA from 1 species
GAAGCCAGUGAUGAUUAGAUUCAAUGGUUGCUGAACAUUCAAUGUUGAAAAGCAUCUAACUUGACUAGGACGGUCUGAGGCUUU